rnacentral:rRNA from 1 species
UACGUAGGGCGCAAGCGUUGUCCGGAUUUAUUGGGCGUAAAGAGCUCGUAGGCGGCUCGGUAAGUCGGGUGUGAAAUUUCGAGGCUCAACCUCGAAACGCCACCCGAUACUGCUGUGGCUAGAGUCCGGUAGGGGAGCGUGGAAUUCCUGGUGUAGCGGUGAAAUGCGUAGAUAUCGGGAGGAACACCUGUGGCGAAGGCGGCCGCCUGGUUGGAUACUGACGCUGAGACGCGAAAGCGUGGGGAGCAAACAGG